GAUGAACGCUAGCGGCAGGCUUAAUACAUGCAAGUCGAGGGGCAGCAUGAUUGUAGCAAUACAAUUGAUGGCGACCGGCAAACGGGUGCGGAACACGUACACAACCUUCCAACAAGUGGGGGAUAGCCCAGAGAAAUUUGGAUUAAUACCCCGUAACAUAGCGAUGUGGCAUCACAUUGCUAUUAUAGAUUUUUCGCUUGUUGAUGGGUGUGCGGCUGAUUAGAUAGUUGGGGGGGUAACGGCCCACCAAGUCUACGAUCAGUAGCUGAUGUGAGAGCAUGGUCAGCCACACGGGCACUGAGACACGGGCCCGACUCCGACGGGAGGAAGCAGUAAGGAAUAUUGGACAAUGGGCGCAAGUCUGAUCCAGCCAUGCCGCGUGAAGGAUUAAGGUCCUCUGGAUUGUAAACUUCUUUUAUAAGGGACGAAAAAAGGCUUUUCUAAGUCGUCUGACGGUACCUUAUGAAUAAGCGCCGGCUAACUCCGUGCCAGCAGCCGCCGUAACAC
rnacentral:rRNA from 1 species